rnacentral:sRNA from 1 species
UACAUUACUUCUUCAAGUGCGUACAAGC